GGGGUUCAUUAUUUGUUUUCAAGAGCUUAGGUGCAAGUAAGCAGCCCUACAUUCAACCAUAUUUCUUACUCUUCUAUCCAUGAAGUGUUUUCAAAUACUGUCUUUUUCUCUUGACAGAUGCCAUCCGAGGAAAAAACUCUUGACACGGCAUUGUGAAUAUUACUGGUUUUGCUACCACAACAUGCAAAAUAUGGUGUGGGUGAGAGGCCAAGAUCCGUGGAAUUAGAGGAUUUGCGGAGCACCUACUUUCAGCCUACAACUCCGCCGGCUCCGCGAGCUGAGUCUGGGAGCGGAGGGACACCGAACACUCCCAUAUUACCGUCUCUAUGCAGCAACAUGACGACAAUGGCAUCCCACUUUUGAAAAUACAACUUGAGCAACACCGCAUACAUUGUGUAUCUAUUUAAUUCAUAUACUUGGGAUUGUUUUCUUUUAUAUUAAAAUAAA